rnacentral:lncRNA from 1 species
GAAGCAUAGCAUUCACAAAACACCUUUCUUCCAAGUCUCCUUAAUUUAUAAAUGGAAUCAACAGGAGUCUGUUUAAUUAAUAUUUAGCGCACAGAGUUUUGUUUAUCAAAGAAACAACUCUUUUUCUAAGCUCCGCAUCUCAUAAUUCUCAGAAAGUGCUUGUAGCUUCAAUAUUUAAUGUCAGAAAGAAGGAGACAGUUAUAAAAUAACCACCACUUCAUUACUCAUUCCAUGAGUGUAUGCAAUGAAGACAUAGCGAUGUACAUGGUAAAUAAUGAAGAGAACAACUGGCAUUGCAUUCCCUGAAUUAGAAUAGUUCUUGUUGUAAACACAAUUUAGUUUUCACCUCUGGCAAUCGCACUUCAAAACUGGUUGGGAUCAAAGAUAAAACUGAAUAUAGCAGUGAUAUAUAGUCUUCUCAGUCUCCCACAGAUAUCAGCUCAUUAGAAAUCACGGGAAAAUAUUAAAACUCUUUAAUAUUCUGACAGCAGUUAAAUUGUGACAUUUCCUAUGUCAAAACCAAGAGUCAACAAACACCCACUGCUACUUGUAAUGAAGUAGACCUCUAUUAAUAACGGUAAUAAGCUAAGAAAAACUUUACUCCUGAGCAGAAACGUUUCCAUAGGCUGACUUUGUCAUUGUGGAACAAUGCUUAUCAAAAAUGUAUCCAGAAAUAUCUUCACACUGCAGUUGCUGCUGACUGUAGCUGUAUACUCAGAACAGCCAUGACCUCACAAAGCUGUGGAGUUGACUUAAUACUUGCAUAGUUAAAAGACGGAGGACUUGAGAUUUUUGUACAAGGUACAGGCAAUGGUACAGCCAUUUCAUAUUUUUAGAAAAUGUAUUCACGAAUAUAAUGAUUACAAGCACACUUCCAUGAAUUAAAAUGAAUAUUCUCAUUUAAAGAAUUUGUCUUCUUAAAUUACCAAAAAGCUUAGGAAUUUGCCAAUCUUGCAAAAACUUAUAUGGACAGACUAUCAGCAGAAGCUGACAAGAAACUCUGCAUCAUGGUAAAACAAUUGACUGUAGAUGGAGCGGAUCAGCUAAGCAAAAUGGCUUUGAGAACAACAAUAUUUAUUUAGAUUGAAAGGAGUAGGAUUGAAAGUGAGAAUAAUUACAUUAUGAGAGAGGACACAGAAGGCAGAGGACUCAGAGCUGCUGGAGCUGAGGCUGUGGAUUCUUACAAUUGAAGGUACUGAAGAACGCAAGAACAGAAUCUUCCUUAACAGCACCUCAGAGUUUUUAAAGUGAUUUUCCUCUUUUCCCAGCUCAGAUUCAUCAUAUACUCAAAAGAGUAUACUCAAAAGAGUAUAUGAUGGUGGCUCAUCAACAAAGCACUUUGAUGCAUGUUAGCACAAAGUUGCAUAACGUUUAUAUAAAAAAAAAAAAAAGUAGGAUUCUCUGUUCACUGUGAUUACUUAAAUGGAUCUAAGUUCUUGUCUCCAUUAAAUAAAGAGUGACUUCAUAGGAUGGAUGUGCA